rnacentral:rRNA from 1 species
AAAUUGAAGAGUUUGAUCAUGGCUCAGAUUGAACGCUGGCGGCAGGCCUAACACAUGCAAGUCGAACGGUAACAGGAAGCAGCUUGCUGCUUUGCUGACGAGUGGCGGACGGGUGAGUAAUGUCUGGGAAACUGCCUGAUGGAGGGGGAUAACUACUGGAAACGGUAGCUAAUACCGCAUAACGUCGCAAGACCAAAGAGGGGGACCUUCGGGCCUCUUGCCAUCGGAUGUGCCCAGAUGGGA